rnacentral:lncRNA from 1 species
GGCCGCUUGACUCAGCUAAGCGCGAAGGUGUUGUUUCUUCCUGAGAUAUGGGAUGCUGGAGGACAUCUGGGGGCCACAAAUGCUCCUUCUCCUGGAGACGCAACUCAAGUUCUCAUGGAGUUUUCAUUGUCUCGUGCAAUGCCAUCGACCUUGAAUUUCAGCAUAGGACCCAUAUGAAGUGCCACUGUUAAUGCUGGGAGCACUCCAGGAAGCAGAGAAAAGUUAUGACAUUUCAAGAAAAAUCUGAAUUGCUUGAUAUGUUCCACAGAUUGAGGUCUGUACCUAUGGUUGCCCACUAUUUCAAUAGUCAGUGUAAGGACUAUUGUAAAA